rnacentral:rRNA from 1 species
GUCUUGUCUUAUUUAUGAGUGGCCGGACCGGCGCGACGGGUGAGUACGCGUACUACCCAACCUUCCCAUAGGUAGGGUAUACGCCGGCGAAGUCGGAUUUAAUCCCCUAUGUUGUUUGAAGCGGACAUCUAAUUCAAACCAAAGAUUCAUCGCUAUGGGAUGGGGAUGCGUCUGAUUAGGUUGCAGGCGGGGUAACGGCCCACCUGGCCGACGAUCAGUAGGGGUUCUGAGAGGAAGGUCCCCCACACUGGUACUGAGACACGGACCAGACUCCUACGGGAGGCAGCAGUGAGGAAUAUUGGUCAAUGGGCGCGAGCCUGAACCAGCCAAGUAGCGUGCAGGAUGACGGCCCUACGGGUUGUAAACUGCUUUUAUGCGGGGAUAAAGUGCGGCACGUGUGCCGUUUUGCAGGUACCGCAUGAAUAAGGACCGGCUAAUUCCGUGCCAGCCGCCGC